rnacentral:rRNA from 1 species
UACAGAGGUCUCAAGCGUUGUUCGGAUUCAUUGGGCGUAAAGGGUGCGUAGGUGGCGCCGUAAGUGGGGUGUGAAAUCUCGGGGCUUAACUCCGAAACUGCAUUCCAUACUGCGGUGCUCGAGGACUGGAGAGGAGACUGGAAUUCAUGGUGUAGCAGUGAAAUGCGUAGAGAUCAUGAGGAAGACCAGUGGCGAAGGCGGGUCUCUGGACAGUUCCUGACGCUGAGACGCGAAAGCGUGGGGAGCGAACAGG